AUCUGCGCCUGCGCGGCGCCGGAGCCCUGGAUCUGGCCGAGCAGCUCGCCCACCUCUUCCUGGUGGUGGCGCCGCAGGUAGCCGCACUCCUCCUGCAGCGCCUGCGCCUUCUUCUGCAGGUCCACGCGCGCCGCCUCGGCCUCCUGCGCGAAGCGCGCCAGCGCGCGGGCCGCCGCCUCGGCCUCCUCUCGCUGCCGGGCCUCGUCGUCUAGGCGCUGGCGCACGUGCGCGAUGUCCUCGAGCAGGUGCUCCUGCUCCAGGCGUAGCUGACCGCGCGCCGCGCCCAGGCGCAGCACCGCGCCGCGCAUCUCGCGGACCUCGCGCUCGUACAGCUCGCCCAUAGCGGAGCGGCCCGCCUGCUGCUGCCGCAGCGCCGCAGCCUCGCCCUCCAGGCUGCGGUUGUGCGCCUCCAGCUGCCGCACCUUGUCGAUGUACCCGGCGAAGCGGUCGUUCAGCGCCUGCAGCUGCUCCUUCUCACUGCGUGAGGUGGCCACCGCCACCAUGCAGCCCUCCGGCCCGUUGCUCAGCGUGUCCAGCGAGUCGGUGCUUGAGGCGGCGCCUGCGCCACGGAAGCGGCUGGGCGAGGCGGACACGGAGCUCACGGACGUCCGUGUCCACGAGUGGAAGCCGCUGGAGGAGCCAGCGGCGGAGCGCGUCCCGCCUGCGCCACCCUUUCGGGCUAGCGCGUAGUGGAGGCUGCCGCCGCCAUGCAGCGGCGCGAACGGGGCGCCCAGCAGCGCGUCCGCGCCGCCGAAGCUCAUCAUGGCCUGAGCAGUGGGGGCUUAUUUGGCCUCCCCAGGAUGGACUGGAGCAUCAGUAGUGCCCGGGUUUAUCACAGGACAGAUACUCAAGACACUCUUAUCACCAUUAGGUGGACUUGGAGGAGCAAAAAACAAGUGCAGUGGCUCCUCAGCAGAGACACUCCUGAAUGUAUAGACAUGGGAACCACCUUCAGCAUCAAAAAAGGAAACGUUCUGCAUGCCCAUAUCCAGAAAAAUCCCCACUCGCUGUAACUUGCGGUCUACGAAGAGGAAAGUCAGCGGCACCGUGCUGGCAGAGAGGCGGCUUCCAUCCCUCAAACUCACAGUCCAGAAUCCACGCUCUGUGGUCAGAUGGAUCCUCCCUUUGCGGUGAACAGAUUCUCUGCAGACUCCCAGGUCCCAUUCUGUGCUUGUUCCCACGUCCACCUCCCAGUAGUGGCGGCCACAGGUAAAGCGAGGGGAGCCCAGGAUGCAAAUGGACACGUCAAAUCUCUCGGCAAGGUCUUGCCGAUUCUGUGUGAUGCACCCACUUCGGACGCUCCUGAGGUCGUCAGAAAUGAGGAGGAAGUUGUUGGCUGUGUCGGCAUCCAAGGUCAUAUCCACUGUGAAAAGGAAAAAAAGUUGAUCAGAAAAUGGACAGAAGCCAACCCCAUGCCUCUCCUCUACUUCAAAGGCCCAAAUAUCUCUUGACUUUGGUUUCUUUAAUUCUCUUCUUCCCCCAAAAUCAAAACUUUUCAUGAGGCAACUUCCCUGACUAGUUCAAAUUCUCAUAGGUAUGCUUUGUGGCAAUACCCAACUCUUAUUCACAGUAGCAAUUAUUUUACUUUAUGUCACGUGUUUGCUUCAUUGGACUUUUCUUCAUUUAGAGUGGAGGGUCUCUGAAGGCAGACACCAUGACCCCCUUUCUACCACCUUGAUGCAUGAAAAAAUGAAUGAUAAUUAAGACAAUGCAAAUGGUCGAUGUUAAAUAUGUUUCUGCUUCCAUCUUGUAUUGCUCAACUCAGUAUAUAGAGCAUGAUUCCAGGCCUUUGUUUUCCAUGUUUGUAAGCAAAUUAAUUGUGCAUGGUUCUGACAGCAGGUAGGGUAUCUCUGCAGCUGACAAUGUGAUGACAGAGGUGCCGGUCCUGGACAUUAGGAGGCUCCAAGGCCAGGAGGAAGAGGGGGGCCUUAGAUGAAAGAAUGUUUUCCAUCCUACAUGGGAGGUGAAACCUUAAGCAAAACAAUGGUAAAUUUUGGAGUGAAGAGAAAGGUAUUUGAAAGUUGUUUGUUGGCUGAGCGCGGUGGCUCACACCUGUAAUCCCAGCACUUUGGGAGGCCGAGACGGGUGGAUCACGAGGUCAGGAGAUCGAGACCAUCCUGGCUAACACGUGAAACCCUGUCUCUACUAAAAAACAUACAAAAAAAUUAGCCGGACAUGGUGGCGGGUGCCUGUAGUCCUAGCUACUCGGUAGACUGAGGCAGGAGAAUGGCAUGAACCCAGGAGGCGGAGCUUGCAAUGAGCAGAGAUCAUGCCACUGCACCUCCAGCCUAGGCGGCAGAGCGAGACUCCAUCUCAAAAAAUAAAAAAAAAAAGAAAGUUGUUCGUCAUAACUGACUGAUCGUAGAGAAUAAGGGCAGUAAAUACAAAGGUCAAUAAUUUAAUGCAUUGGGUAUGUGGUUGAUAGGUGAAGCUGCCAAUUCUCAUGGAGGAGGCAGUGUGAUCUGGCCUAAAGAAAAUUAAUUGUCCAGAGCAUUCUGAAAAAAAAAUCUACAGAACAUAUGAUCCUUCAAGUCAAAAAACUGAUGAUCACCAAUAUAGAUUUUAUAGAUUACAGUAAGACUUGAGGAGACUGAUUGCUGUUUGAUGGUGAAUUAGGGAAUGAAAUGAGAUGAGUGGACAUGGACAAGGAAGGAGGAAGAGGGUUCCAAACAUGACUUAGGCAGGGUGAAUCUGUCCUCCAUAUUUCAGCAGAGACACAGUCAGGUAUGGGUAGGUGGAUGAGUAGAGAUCAUGGGUGUCAGGGCAGAAGCCACCACCAUUUAUAGGUGUAAUUCUUUGCCCAGGCUGACCAUAACCUCUUCAUUUAAAUGUCCCUAUUCCCCAGAGUUAUGGAGAGUGAUAGUAUUUUCUGUAGCCAGGACCCCUGUUGAAGUCCAUGGCACACCGAUGAGGAGACCAGCGUCUGCAACUCGCCCCACUCACAGAAACAAACACCAUAGGUGCUCCAUUCCAAACUCUUCCCAACCCUGGGGUGAGGUUGUUUGGUACAGUGGGUGCCAAUACUCACUGUGCAUUAGAAUUACCAGGCCCAUUUAAAUGUCAGAGUCCUGGGAACCUUUGCUAGAGAGAAAUUCAAAUUAAGUUGCUCUGUGUUUUUGCUACUCAGCAAAGUCCCCAAGCCAGCGGGAUCAAUCCUGAGACUUCCCAGUUCAGCAUCUGCAUUUUAACAAGAUCCCCAGGUAAUCUGAGCACACUAAGUUUAGAGAAUCCCUUGUCUAACCCAUGACAUAGACAUCAGGUUUUUUUUUUUGAGACGGAGUCUCACUCUGUCACCCAGGCUGGAGUGCAGUGGUGCAAUCUUGGCUCACUGCAAGCUCCGCCCCCCCCAGGUUAACGCCAUUCUCCUGCCUCAACCCCCAAGUAGCUGGGACUACAGGCACCCACCACCAAGCCUGGCUAAUUUUUUGUAUUUUUAGUAGAGACAGGGUUUCACCGUGUUAUCCAGGAUGGUCCCGAUCUCCUGACCUCGUGAUCCACCCGCCUCGGCCUCCCAAAGUGCUGACAUUACAGGCAUGAGCCACCAUGCCCAGCCAGCCUUUUUUUUGGAGAUCACCAGGUGAUUCUGUAUGUUGUCAGGGCUGAGAAUCUGAUGAUGAAGAAGCAUCUCAAUUUUAGGUGCCAGACAGCAGCUAAUCCCCAUAUGGAAUGAGGGGCCAGUUGCACAGAUGAUUUUUCCUGGUCUGGUCGUAGGAAGGGGGCAGUGUAUACAGAUCCCUCACCUUGGAACUUCCGCAUCCUUGGGUUCAUCUGCAGAAUCUUCUUCAGCUUGGGCUCCAGUUCCUUGAUGUGGGAAGCCAGCCUCUCUAGCUGCCAACUGGGCCUGAUUUUGUUCUUCUGAGAGACCAUGGAACAGCAACAGCAAAGUAGAUCCUCCCCAUGGGGCUCCUUCUGCAGUGAAUUGAUGCACUUGAAGCAGACAGCGCAUCCACACUCCAGGGACAUUGGUUUCUCUAGAUAGUCUGAGCAGACGGGACAGCUGCUUGCUUCUUGGAAGAGUGCAGCCAUGUCCACUGCCAGGGGAAAAGUGCACAAGGGAAGAAAAUUUCCGUGAGGUGAAAGCCUGUUAGUUGUGACAAGUGACAACCUUUUCAUGCAUAAAGGUAUUGUGUCCCAGCUUUGUCACUUCUAGAACAAGACCAUGAGUACAAACACUCAAGCACAUCCCCCCACCCCCCGUCUUCAGAGAUUUGAAGUUCUAUUGGGAAAGAAAGUCACGAAUCAUCACUGUGCUCUGAACUGAGGUGGAGGAAGGGUCCAUUCUACUGGUGACCCAGCAACUGAGCCUGAGCCAGUGACACGGCAGCACCCAUGUGAGGAACAGCGAGCUGGGGUCAUUUCACCUCCUCCUAGGGGAACCCCAGCAAGAGAUUGAUUGAUGAACAUAAGAAUUAGGGGCUGGGAGGCCGGGCGUGGUGGCUCAGGCCUAUAAUCCCAGCACUUUGGGAGGCUGACGUGAGUGGAUCAUCUGAGGUCGUCAAAAGUUCGAGACCAGCCUGAUGGGUGAAACCCCAUCUCUACUGAAAAUACAAAAGAAUUAGCCAGGCGUGGUGGCACACGCCUGUAAUCCCAGAUACUUGGGAGGCUGAGGCAGGAGAAUUGCUUGAACCUGGGAGGCAAAGGUUGCAGUGAGCCAAGAUCCAGCCAUUGCACUCCGGCCUGGACAACAGAGUGAGACACCAUCUCAAAAAAAAAAAAAAAAAAAAAGAGAGGGACUGGAUGCAGUAGCUCACAUCUGUAAUCCCAGCACUUUGCGAGGCCAAGGCUGGAAGAUCCCUUGAGCCAAGGAGUUUGAGAUCAGCCUGGGCAACACAGGAAGACCCCCUCUCUACAAAUAAUAGAAAAAUUAGCAGUGAGCAGAGAUCACACCAGGUCACUCCAACCUGGACAACAGAGUUAAGACCCUGUCUCACCAAAAAAAAAAAAAAAAAAAUCACAUCCUUCUCCAGCCUUGGAAAUGAAUACCAAAUUGACUGCCACCACUCCUAGACUGGAGAUCUGGGGAUCCAGGGUGACUGGUUUUCAACUCUGAGGCAGCACUCAGACAGCCUUUGUUGAAUUCAUUAAUUACGAAUUUCUCUCAUUCAUCCCCCAAGGCAUAACCCCCAUUUCUAGGCAUCUAAGGAGGAAAAACACACACACAGGCAUGGGCUCACCUCUUCUGCUGGAAGCUCCUCUGUCCUCCAGCUGCUUCCACUGGGCGCUCAGGUCUUGUGCGGAAGGGGCACAUGAGGGCGUUUUAUUGGUGAGAUUCCCACCUCCCACUGGGUCAUGCCCUUCCACACCCUCUAACCUAAUGAGGCUUUGAUUUAAUUAUAACAGGGAAUUAGGUUUUUACUGGUGAUAUAUCUCCAGUUAAUUGUAACUUUAGUAAAUCCUUCAUCCUGACAGUGUAUUUUUCUUUCAUAUGAAGAUAAGAUUAAAUUGCCUUUAUAUUAAAUUAGGCUUAAUGUACUAACUUCAAAAGCUUAUUUUAGAGAUGUUUCCAUCAGUUGUCAGUAAAGAUAAUUCCUGUAAUAUGUUGUAGGCUUCAAGCUUUGCUUGGAAACCUGAAGUAUUAAGUAUGAUUGGAUUUGCAAUUUUACAAAAUGGUUUAAAUUCAUAUACAUCAGACUCAAAGGUAAUAGGGGCAUGCAUUCCAUUGAGGAAAUUCUAGGGAAUUUUUAUUUAUUUUCAUUGGUUUAUUUCUGGUUUUGAAAAAAUUUCAUAAUUCAUAGGAAAAAAUUGGAUAAUUACUAUUUUGACAAAUGACCAUUAAGCUUCUUGGACCUUGAGUACUUCACACAGUGUUAAGAUAAAAGUCACAAUUUAAAAAAAAAAGAUGAUUUUCUUGUGAAACUUGUGUUCUCAAAUAAAAAUUGUUACCCGUGAAGUGAGUUGUGCUUUCUUCCAUUUGAAUCAACCCCGAAUCUUUUCAUUUUCAUGCCUUUCUGUGUAGUGGGAUCUUUACUGCUUUGUUUUCAAAUUUCAAAUAAUUUGAAUAUAAUCUUAUCAUUUUCCCUAUUCCCUUUGGCACAUAUUAAAGGAAUUUUCUCUUUUUGCAUAAUUAAAAAUAAAGACCUAAUUUUGGUCGGCUUUAAAUAUGAUUCCUCAUGGGAUUAGAGGACUCUGAGACACUCAGGUCUUGUUUUGGUUUACUUUUUUUUCCUCUUUACUUUCAGUUGACAUGUAAUAAUUGUACAUAUUUAUGGCACACAGUAAUAUUUUGAUACAUGCAUAAAGUGUGUAAUAAUCAAGUCAGGAUAAUUAGCACACUCUAAACAUUUCUUUCUUUUUUUUUUUUUUUUGAGACAGAUUCUUGCUCUGUCAGCCAGGCUGGAGUGCAGUGGCACAAACUUGGAUCACUGCAACAUCCGGCUCCUGGGCUCAAGCAAUUCUCCUGCCUCAGCCUCCUGAGCAGCUGGGAUUACAGGCAUGUGCCACCAUGCCUGGCUAAUUUUUUUUUUUUUUGUAUUUUU
rnacentral:lncRNA from 1 species